GAUUCCCCUAGUAACUGCGAGUGAAGAGGGAAAAGCUCAAAUUUAAAAUCUGGUACCCUUAGGGUGCUCGAGUUGUAAUUUGGAGAGGCGUUUUCUGUGCUGGACUGUGUAAAAGUUUCUUGGAAUAGAACAUCAUAGAGGGUGAGAAUCCCGUCUUUGACACAGACUACCAGUGCUAUGUGAUACGCUUUCAAAGAGUCGCGUUGUUUGGGAAUGCAGCGCUAAAUGGGUGGUAAAUUCCAUCUAAAGCUAAAUAUUGGCGAGAGACCGAUAGCGAACAAGUACCGUGAGGGAAAGAUGAAAAGCACUUUGGAAAGAGAGUUAAACAGUACGUGAAAUUGUUGAAAGGGAAACGCUUGAAGUCAGUCGCAUUGCUUUGGAUUCAGCCUUGCUCUUUUGCUUGGUGUAUUUCCUUAGUAAUGGGUCAGCAUCAAUUUUGUUCAAUGGAAAAAGGAUGGGGGAAGGUGGCACCUCCGGGUGUGUUAUAGCCCCUGUCUGUAUACAUUGAAUGGGAUUGAGGUCUGCAGCACGCCUUUAUGGCCGGGGUUCGCCCACGCAAGUGCUUAGGAUGCUGGCAUAAUGGCUUUAAGCGACCCGUCUUGAAACACGGACCAAGGAGUCUAACAUACCUGCGAGUGUUUGGGUGCUAAAACUCAUGCGCGUAGUGAAAGCAAAAGUUAAGAUCCCUGUCGUGGGGAGCAUUGAC
rnacentral:rRNA from 1 species